GACGAACGCUGGCGGCGUGCUUAACACAUGCAAGUCGAACGGAAAGGCCCUGCUUUUGUGGGGUGCUGGAGUGGCGAACGGGUGAGUAACACGUGAGUAACCUGCCCUUGACUUUGGGAUAACUUCAGGAAACUGGGGCUAAUACCGGAUAGGAGCUCCUGCUGCAUGGUGGGGGUUGGAAAGUUUCGGCGGUUGGGGAUGGACUCGCGGCUUAUCAGCUUGUUGGUGGGGUAGUGGCUUACUAAGGCUUUGACGGGUAGCCGGCCUGAGAGGGUGACCGGCCACAUUGGGACUGAGAUACGGCCCAGACUCCUACGGGAGGCAGCAGUGGGGAAUAUUGCACAAUGGGCGGAAGCCUGAUGCAGCAACGCCGCGUGCGGGAUGACGGCCUUCGGGUUGUAAACCGCUUUCGCCUGUGACGAAGCGUGAGUGACGGUAAUGGGUAAAGAAGCACCGGCUAACUACGUG
rnacentral:rRNA from 1 species